GCCAGUGGCAUUGCCGGGUAGCUAAGUUCGGAAGGGAUAACCGCUGAAAGCAUCUAAGCGGGAAGCCUCUCCCAAGAUUAGAUUUCCCAAUCCUUGAGAUUGUAAGGGCCCUUGUAGACUACAAGGUUGAUAGGCCGGGUGUGGAAGCACAGUAAUGUGUGAAGCUAACCGGUACUAAUUGCCCGAGUGGCUUGGUCAU
rnacentral:rRNA from 1 species